AUUGAACGCUGGCGGCAGGCCUAACACAUGCAAGUCGAGCGGAGCGGCGGACGGGUGCGUAAUGCCUAGGAAUCUGCCUGGUAGUGGGGGAUAACGUCCGGAAACGGGCGCUAAUACCACAUCCUAUCAGAUGAGCCUAGGUCGGAGUAGCUAGUUGGUGGGGUAAAGGCCCACCAGGGCGACGAUCAGUAACCGGUCUGAGAGGAAGAUCAGUCACACUGGAACUGAGACACGGCCCAGACUCCUACGGGAGGCAGCAGUGGGGAAUAUUGGACAAUGGGCGAAAGCCUGAUCCAUCCAUGCCGCGUGUGUGAAGAAGGCCUUCGGGUUGUAAAGCACUUUAAGCUGGGAGGCGGUACCUGCAGAAUAAGCACCGGCUAACUUCGUGCCAGCAGCCGCGGUAAUAC
rnacentral:rRNA from 1 species